ACAGAUUAACGCUGGCGGCAUGCCUAACACAUGCAAGUCGAACGGAAACGAUGCUAGCUUGCUAGCAGGCGUCGAGUGGCGGACGGGUGAGUAAUGCAUAGGAAUCUACCUAAUAGUGGGGGACAACCUGGUGAAAACCAGGCUAAUACCGCAUAAUCCCUACGGGGCAAAGCAGGGGACCUUCGGGCCUUGCGCUAUUAGAUGAGCCUAUGUCGGAUUAGCUAGUUGGUGAGGUAAUGGCUCACCAAGGCGACGAUCCGUAGCUGGUUUGAGAGGAUGAUCAGCCACACUGGGACUGAGACACGGCCCAGACUCCUACGGGAGGCAGCAGUGGGGAAUAUUGCACAAUGGGCGCAAGCCUGAUGCAGCCAUACCGCGUGUGUGAAGAAGGCCUUAGGGUUGUAAAGCACUUUCAGUAGGGAGGAAAGCUUAUGGCUUAAUACGCUAUAGGUAUGACGUUACCUACAGGAAGAAGGACCGGCUAACUCCGUGCCAGCAGCCGCGGUAAUACGGAGGGUCCGAGCGUUAAUCGGAAUUACUGGGCGUAAAGCGUACGUAGGUGGUUUGUUAAGUUGGAUGUGAAAGCCCAGGGCUCAACCUUGGAAGUGCAUUUGAAACUGGUUAACUAGAGUUUUGUAGAGGGUGGUAGAAUUUCAGGUGUAGCGGUGAAAUGCGUAGAGAUCUGAAGGAAUACCAGUGGCGAAGGCGGCCACCUGGACAAGACUGACACUGAGGCGCGAAGGCGUGGGGAGCAAACGGGAUUAGAUACCCCGGUAGUCCACGCACAGUAAACGAUGUCUAUUAGAAGUUUGUGGCUAUAUGCCGCGGGUUUCAAAGCUAACGCAUUAAAUAGACCGCCUGGGGAGUACGGCCGCAAGGUUAAAACUCAAAUGAAUUGACGGGGGCCCGCACAAGCGGUGGAGCAUGUGGUUUAAUUCGAUGCAACGCGAAGAACCUUACCAUCCCUUGAAAUCCAGAGAAUCAACUAGAGAUAGAUGAGGUGCCUUCGGGAACGCAGUGACAUUUGCUGCAUGGCUGUCUUCAUCUCGUGUUUUCAUAUGUUGGGUUAAGUCCCGUAACGAGCGCAACCCUUGUCCUUAUUUGCCAGCACGUAAUGGUGGGAACUUUAAGGAGACUGCCGGUGACAAACCGGAGGAAGGUGGGGACGACGUCAAGUCAUCAUGGCCCUUACGACCCGGGCUACACACGUGCUACAAUGGCCGGUACAGAGGGUUGCAAAGCCGCGAGGUGGAGCCAAUCCCAGAAAGCCGGUCGUAGUUCGGAUUGGAGUCUGCAACUCGACUCCAUGAAGCCGGAAUCGCUAGUAAUCGCGAAUCAGAAUGUCGCGGUGAAUACGUUCCCGGGCCUUGUACACACCGCCCGUCACACCAUGGGAGUGGGUUGCAAAAGAAGUGGGUAGACUAACCUUCGGGAGGUCGCUCACCACUUUGUGAUUCAUGACUGGGGUGAAGUCGGAACAAGGUAGCCCUAGGGAACAAA
rnacentral:rRNA from 1 species